GCCUGGGUGGCUCAGUGGUUGUGCAUCUGCCUUCAGCUCAGGGCAUGGUCCCAGGGUCCUGGGAUCGAGUCCCACCUCGGGCU
rfam:Canis lupus familiaris chromosome 3, whole genome shotgun sequence.